GGCGUAAAGCGCACGCAGGCGGUCUGUCAAGUCGGAUGUGAAAUCCCCGGGCUCAACCUGGGAACUGCAUUCGAAACUGGCAGGCUAGAGUCUUGUAGAGGGGGGUAGAAUUCCAGGUGUAGCGGUGAAAUGCGUAGAGAUCUGGAGGAAUACCGGUGGCGAAGGCGGCCCCCUGGACAAAGACUGACGCUCAGGUGCGAAAGCGUGGGGAGCAAACAGGAUUAGAUACCCUGGUAGUCCACGCCGUAAACGAUGUCGACUUGGAGGUUGUGCCCUUGAGGCGUGGCUUCCGGAGCUAACGCGUUAAGUCGACCGCCUGGGGAGUACGGCCGCAAGGUUAAAACUCAAAUGAAUUGACGGGGGCCCGCACAAGCGGUGGAGCAUGUGGUUUAAUUCGAUGCAACGCGAAGAACCUUACCUACUCUUGACAUCCAGA
rnacentral:rRNA from 1 species